AGGGGAGGAGCCUGCCCUGAUGAGGGGAGGGGCUCGUGAUCCUCAGAGCAGAGAGCAGUGCACGGCUUGAAUGGUUUUGAUUGCCUUUGGGGGAUUCUGAAUUAUUUUUACUCCUUCCUACUUUUCUGUAUUGACAGGAUGGUCUGCAGUGAGGAUGUGCUACUUUAAUAACCAGGGAAGUAGAGCAUUUCUUAAGAAGAAUGGUGGCAUUAUAUGCCCACUCUGGUCUUCUCUCCUGCUUUCCCUCUUCUUCUCCAGGUUCACUGAAUAUUAGCGAAGCUAUUUCACUUUCAGAGCUGACCCCGAGUGCCAGCCUCAACCUGGCCCAGACUUCGUCUGGAUCCUGUGACAUUCCCAUUCUAGGCUGCCUGAAUUGGAAUGGUUGUAUCAUUACAGAGGUCCUUUAGUCAGGGGAGGCAAUCUCCGUCAUUCUACCUGCAACUUACUGCUCAAAUCCUUAGGCAGUCGUAUUGUUAGCAGACUCUGGUGCUGAUCCCAGCCCUGCUUUGGGGCAUAGGAUAGGUGAUGGCGCCUCAACAUUGCUUCAAAGGGUGAGCUACGAAAUUCCCUGGUAAAUUCAUUUGAAAGGAAAGAUCCAGCAGGACCAGCCUGGAGAAGUGGCCCCUAUAUAGUGAAACAAAAGACAAAACAGAACACGUCUUGGUUACAGACUACUCAAGACAAACCAGUCUCUUUUUUCACUUGACUUUUGACCAAAAGCGUAUUAGCCAGUUUGACCCCCUGCCUCAUGCAUCCUCCUGAACGCUGAUACCUCUUACCAAGAAUCAAACCCUCCUUCAAAAGAUGAAGAUUUAUCACCACCGAGGCCACAGCUCUGAAAGAACAUCCCCCAGAGAGUCCCCACGGUGUCACGAUGAGGACAGCACUAUUGAGAUAAGUGUGUGAUCUCUCCCAAGCUGGCCAUUUCAAAAAGAGUGACAUUUACUUGUGUGUAUGUUUUAGGAUUUUGGUUUCAAAUCUCACCUGACUUUAAGGUUGAUUCGUUUCUUGAUGUUACUGUUGUCAUUUGUAUUUUAUUUGUCCAUGUCACUGCUUUCAUGUGUAAUACACUGGUGUUUGUCAUCGUCACUCUGCAGAUAUUUCAGCUCUUCAAACUCACUCAGUGUUCUCCCUCUCAGCACACCCAUCGUCUGUCAUUGUCACCACAUUUACCCACGGAUCCCAGUUAUCCUGCCCUGCGAGUCACACAGUGUAACUUAGCCGGAGUGUUUCCCAUAAACCGGAAGCCUUCUUGCUUUGUUAGCAUGAGUAGAAGGCAGUUUGUCCAAGACAGGGUCCCAGAUACAUCUGGAAGCAACCAAAACUGGGGCAGUCACAACAUUAUGUGUGGCUAUUUUUCAGUUUAAUUUUAGAGUGUAUUUUAGAAUAAGAAUACUACUGGGUUUAAGAUAGCAUAACGUAGUUUUAAUAGCACACAUAUGUGGUACCUUUAAAUGAAAUGGCUUUUUAUCCUAACAGAAGGAAUACAGAAAAUUCCUUUUUAAAUGAUCAUUUUCUUGCUGGAGCAACAGAUAUAAGCCUUAAGCCAGAAAAGGUCCCAGUUUUUGUUUUUAUUCCUGUCCUUAAAAAGGUAUAAGAUUAGGGUGGUGCCUGUGGCUCAAGGAGUAGGGCGCUGGCCCCAUAUGCCGUGGGUAGUCCGUUCAAGCCCAGCCCUGGCCAAAAACCUCAAAAAAGAAAAAAAGGUAUGAGAUUAUAAAGUUCAUAAUAUCCAUUUCCACCUGUUUGCUUUUAAUUGAUUUAUGUUUAACUUGAAUUAAACUCAGCAUAAUAAAAAAUAGAAUUUGUAGCAAAUGUUUUAUACAUGCCUAGGUAUAAACAAUAACAUCAGAUAGUGUCUCUGUUUCAUUAAAGAACUUCAGGACGUU